rnacentral:rRNA from 1 species
GUCCACGCCUUAAACGAUGGAUACUAAGUGUCGGCGGGUUACCGCCGGUGCCGCAGCUAACGCAGUAAGUAUCCCGCCUGGGAAGUACGGCCGCAAGGUUGAAACUCAAAGGAAUUGACGGGGGCCCGCACAAGCGGUGGAGCAUGUGGUUUAAUUCGACGCAACGCGAAGAACCUUACCCAGGCUGGACAUGCAGGUAGUAGGAGGGUGAAAGCCCAACGAGGUAGCAAUACCAGCCUGCUCAGGUGCUGCAUGGCUGUCGU